rnacentral:rRNA from 1 species
AUUGAACGCUGGCGGCAGGCUUAACACAUGCAAGUCGAGCGAGCGGCGGACGGGUGAGUAAUGUCUGGGAAACUGCCUGAUGGAGGGGGAUAACUACUGGAAACGGUGGCUAAUACCGCAUACCAUCGGAUGUACCCAGAUGGGAUUAGCGAGUAGGGGGGGUAAUGGCUCACCUAGGCGACGAUCUCUAGCUGGUCUGAGAGGAUGACCAGCCACACUGGAACUGAGACACGGCCCAGACUCCUACGGGAGGCAGCAGUGGGGAAUAUUGCACAAUGGGCGCAAGCCUGAUGCAGCCAUGCCGCGUGUGUGAAGAAGGCCUUCGGGUUGUAAAGCACUUUCAGCGAGGAGGCGUUACCCGCAGAAGAAGCACCGGCUAACUCCGUGCCAGCAGCCGCGGUAAUUC